rnacentral:tRNA from 1 species
GCGCGUGGCUUAGUGGUUCGGGUAUUCGGCUCACGAGCGUAAGGUCGCGGGUUCAAUUCCCGUCGACGCG